UCUUGAAACACACUGCUUGAAAUCUUUAUGUUUUAGUUUUUAUUUUCUGUAUAUUCAUGAUUAAAGCCAGCUAUAUGUAACCCACUCUUAAGUCACAAUUGGAGCAUCUGUGUUGAUAAAUUGUUUUACUUGGUAAACAAGAAGAGCAAGGGCUUUUAUUCUGUUUUUGUUUUUGUGUUUUUGUGGGGGUAAAGUUCACCACUUUAAGCUAAAGCUCUAGAUAUUUAGGGUAAAUAUUUUUUUUUUUUGGUAAGUAAGAAACUUUAUUGAAGAGAAUGAAACUAGGCAAAGCCCAUGUAUACAGAAAGUAUACAAAAUGAGACACCUAAUUACAUUCUAUAAAGCUAAAAAAGGACAAAAACUCAUUAACAUUCCCUCCCUUAAGAACAAUAGCAGAAACCACUGAAUAAGAGAAAACACAAAGAAAUUCCAGUUUUCCCCCACUGCUCGCUCCUUAUUGUUGAAACACUUAUCAUUCCUUUCCGACCAUAUGUAACACAUUAAGCACAAAGGUAUCAAUCUCCAUGCCUCAGCCAGUUGAGAGCUAUUAUGAUGCCCAUUCCAACAAGCUAAUAAAUCCACCACACUCUUAGGCAUAACCCAACACAAUCCAGCUUUACUGAAAAUGCCAAUCCAUAACUCCCUGGCCACUUCACAAUGUAAAAGUAAAUGGUCAACCGAUUCUCCAUUCUUCUUACAUGUAACGCCCCAAUGGAAGGCCCGAACUUCAUGGCCUAUACUCCAAAAGUAGUAAUUAAUGAUACAAUUGAAGCCCCAUUGGAACCUUAUAUAGAGCAAGAACUUCUCAUUCCCAAGCAAUGUGGGAUCCCAUACACCACCUACCAUCAAUUUUAAUCUUAUCAUAUAGGGGUAUCACAAUCUACCCCUCUUAAAUUCCCAACGUCCUUGUCGGGCUUGUCCAUUGUAGGUGGCAUGGCUCAAGUCUCACAUUUUUGGUUGGAAUAAGCUCUGAUAUCAUUUGUAACAUUCCAACAGAAGGUCCAAAGCACAUGACUUAUAUUCUAAAAGGACUAGUCAAUGAUACAAUUGAAGCUCCAUUGGAACUUUAUAAAGAGUAAGAACUUCUCUUUUCUAAGCAAUGUGGGAUCCCUAUAUGAUAAGAUUAAGGGUAGGUGGUGUAUGGGAUCUCACAUUGUAGGGGACUUGAGCCUAUCCCAUCCACUCCAAAACAAUCAUACCACAUUUCCUUAGAUUAUCAACUGUCAAAAUCUUCCCAAGAGCAGCAGUCCAAAUAAGAAGGAAUAUGGACCCUCCAAUGCUCUUCCACGGAAAAGAAAGUUGCUGUUGGGCAUUCAACACCUUGUAAAAGGAGCUAACAGAAAACUUAUUACUCCGCUUAUGCUUCCACAGCAUACGAUCCCUCCCAACCCCAGCUGCCUUCACUGAAUACAGAAAACUGAAGAAAUCUACAAACUCAUCAAGUUCCCAGUCUUGAGCAUUUCUAGUGAAACAAAUAUUCCAGUGCACAGUCCCAUUGUCACAGCACAACACUUCAGAAACAGCAGCCCCAAUCAAGCUGAAAACAGAUGGAAAAAUAAUUUUAAGAGGUCUCUCACUACACCAAUCAUGCCAAAACCGAAUCCAAACACCUUCUCCAACCUUAAACUUAAUAUGUUUUGCAAAAAAGCUCCACCCCUUUCUAAUGUAUUUCCAUAAAGUAGCACCAUGAGGCCCCCUCCACUCCUUGGAACACCAUCCCCCCCCCCACUCACGCCCGUAGUUCCUGACAAUCACCACUCUCCACAAAGAAUCCCCUUCCUGAUGAUAUCUCCACAACCACUUUCUUAAUAAUGCCUUAUUAAAAAAACUCUAGUUAUGCACCCCCAAACCACCAUUAACAAUCGGACAACACACCCUUUGCCAACUUACUAAAUGAAAUUUAUUCUCCUCGCCCAAGCCUCACCACAAAGAAGUUCUGAACAAUUUUUCAAUCCGAUUUGCCACUCCCACCAGUAAUGAAAAUAAAGAAAGAUAGUAUGUAGGGAGAUUGGAAAGGGUACUUUUGAUAAGGUUUAAUCUACCCCCUUUUGAUAAAUAAAUCCUCUUCCAACCCUUACCCUUUUGAUAAGGGAAAAUGUUAGAAAACUGUGAUUUGAUAUCCCCUUUCAAGUUUGUCAGGGGUUAAAAUAAUGAUGUUACUCUCAAGUCCAACACUUUUAGCAAAAUUUAGCAAUUAUUUGGAAAGGGGUGCUUGUUUUAUGAGCUAACACCCUCUCCCCCCCCCCCCCCCCCCCCCCCCGCAGCCGGGGUGAGGGAUGAUCUUUCUGAAGCCGUUAAAUUGGUUUCUAACAUGGACUUCUGUUAUUGAAUUUUUUCCAUUUCCCCAAGUGCUGUUGAAGUUGUUCUAGAAAGAUGCAUUAGGGCAUGUUUGAACACUAGGAGAAUUCUCAAAAUUGUCAAAGCUUUUCAUAAUUCUCAAAAUUUUUCAUAAUCUCAUUCCCAAGCAUCACUCAAACACAAAACAUUUUUUAAUAUCAAAUUUUUAACUAUUUCAUCUAAUCAUUACUCAAACACAAAAAUCAAUAUAAUUUUUACAAAUUUCAAAACAAAAUACAAAAAUCAAUAGAACUUUUACAAACUUCAAAGCAGUUUGUUUUUUUUUUUGAUAAGUAAAAGUAGAACUUUUGUGGAUAGGAAUAGGCAUAGGCCAAGUAUACAGAAGUAUACACAGAAAAUGCCCAAGUUCUACUAAGCACCAAAUUAUGAAAAAUGUCUCAUUACAACUAAUGACCAAGGCCCAAGAAAAUAAAAGCAUUAUAAAAGAAUCUCUUCAGCUCAUCCAAGGAACGCUCCCUAUCUUCAAACAAUUAUUAUUAUUUUUUUAUCAAAACAAAAAUAAUAUUAAAAAAUUAUAUUCAAACAAUUUUUUAAUUUUUUUAUUCAGCUUCUUCUCUUUCAUUUCCCAAGAUCCAAUAAAACAUCUUCACUUAAAUCAUUUCACUACUAGUCACAAAAUUCUGAGAUACUCCAAGGGUCCAAACGUGCCCUUAGAUUGGUUUCUUCUUGUUGCAGUACUUGUAGAUUAGGGCUGUAUAUUUUACUCUGUCCCAUUUUCCCGUGAUAAUCACUGUUUUUUAUGUACUUAUUCUUUUUUAUUUUAUUUUUAUUUUUUUAAUGCAUUUGGUUUCUGUUCUUAAUGUUAAUGAAUAUCUGGACAGUAGAAUCAAGGCGGGUAUCCUUGGGAUUCUUUGGAAAUUAGAUAUGAAGAAUGCAUAUGGUCAUGUUAACUAGGAUUUCUUAUGUUACUUGGGUGGUGUGGUUUUGGGGAAAGAUGGAUUUAAUGGAUUAGGCAUUGCAUUACUACAGCCCCUUUUUCAGUUUUGGCUCAUGGUGCGCUAGAGGGGUUCUUUAACAGCUCUAGAGGAUUAAGGCAAGGGGACCCUAUUUCCCCUUUUCCGUUUGUCAUUGUUAUGGAUGCACUUAGUCGUAUGUUGGAAGUAUUUGUUGAUGGAGGUUUUCUUUCUGGUUUCUCGGUGGAGGUGUUAAUAUUUCUCAUCUUCUCUUCGCUGAUGAUACUUUACUUUUUGUGAGCUGGACAGUGGUCAUAUUCUAUAUUUGAGGGCUCUUCUACUUUUUAUGUACUUAUUCUUUUUUAUUUUAUUUUUAUUUUUUUAAUGCAUUUGGUUUCUGUUCUUAAUGUUAAUGAAUAUCUGGACAGUAGAGUCAAGGCGGGUAUCCUUGGGAUUCUUUGGAAAUUAGAUAUGAAGAAUGCAUAUGGUCAUGUUAACUAGGAUUUCUUAUGUUACUUGGGUGGUGUGGUUUUGGGGAAAGAUGGAUUUAAUGGAUUAGGCAUUGCAUUACUACAGCCCCUUUUUCAGUUUUGGCUCAUGGUGCGCUAGAGGGGUUCUUUAACAGCUCAUGGUGCGCUAGAGGGGUUCUUUAACAGCUCUAGAGGAUUAAGGCAAGGGGACCCUAUUUCCCCUUUUCCGUUUGUCAUUGUUAUGGAUGCACUUAGUCGUAUGUUGGAAGUAUUUGUUGAUGGAGGUUUUCUUUCUGGUUUCUCGGUGGAGGUGUUAAUAUUUCUCAUCUUCUCUUCGCUGAUGAUACUUUACUUUUUGUGAGCUGGACAGUGGUCAUAUUCUAUAUUUGAGGGCUCUUCUGCUUUGUUUUGAAGCUGUCUUUGGCUUUAAGGUGAAUCUGUCGAAGUCUGAAAUGUGGGUAUAGUGAAUAAUGUUCAGGGUUUGGCGAACAUUCUGGGUUGUAAGGUCUCUCCGCUGCCCUUGAAAUAUCUUGGUCUUCUGUUGGGGGCUGCUUUCAAGGUAAAAUCUAUUUGGGAGGGUGUCUUAGAAAAAAAUGAUAGAAGGUUGGCAGGUUGGAAAAGGAUUUAUUUGUCUAAGGGUGGUAGAUUAACUCUUAUCAAAAGUAUGUUAUCUAACCUCCCUUCAUACUUUCUUUCGUUAUUUAUGUUACCUGCUAGUUUGGCCUCUCGAAUUGAGAUGAUGUUUUGAAAUUCUCUUUUGGAAGGUAGUGGGAAGGAAGCUUAAGUUUCUCCUUGUUGGCUGGGAUUAAGUUUGUUUUCUUGUAUCUUGUGGUGGUUUGGGGGUGCGUAACUUGAGGAUCUUCAAUAAAGCACUUUUGGAAAAAUGGUUGUGGAGAUAUCACAGGGAAGGGGAGGGUCUGUGGAGAGUCAUUAUAGAUUCAAAAUACACGAGUCUUAGGAGGGUUGGUGUUCUAAUGAAGUAAGGGGCAUAUGGUGUGGGGUUGUGGAAAAAUAUUCUCUCCGGAUGGGAGAGGUUCUCCAACUUUUUCAGAUUUGAGGUUGGAAGAGGAUAUGUUGUCUAUUUUUGGCAUGAUGUUUGGUGUGUUUCAAGGUCUCUUAAGUAUGUUUUUCCUACUCUUUACCAGGUGUCUAGUGACAAAAGAAGCUUUGUUGGUUGACUUGUUGGUGUGUUCUUGUGAUACCCCAUAUGAUAAAAUAAUGGUAGGUGGUGUAUGGGAUCCCACAUUGAUUGGGGAGGAGAAGUUCUUGCUCUUUAUAAGGUUCCAAUGGAGCUUCAAUUGUAUCAUUGACUAGCCUUUUUGGAGUAUAGACCAUGUGGUUUGGGCCUUCUAUUGGAGCAUUACGGUUCUAAUGGUUCUUUCUAUUGGAGUGUCAGUUUUUUUAGAGCGGCUCACAACUGGGAACUUGGAAUGUUUGCUGAUUUUUUUGACUUGUAUGCUAUGUUGUUUUGUUUGGUAAUGUGAUGAAGGAUAGGGUGAUUUGGACUCUUGAUGGAAAUUCUAGGUUCACAGUGCGUUCCUAUUAUAAGGCUCUUUCGGGAUUCUCGAAUGAUCAUUGUUUUCCUUGGAAGGCUAUUUGGAAGUUUAAGGUCCCUCCUAAGAUUGCUUUCUUUAUAUGGACUACUUCUCUUGGGAGAAUCCUCACCACUGACAAUAUGAGGAAACAUGGUUUCAUCAUUAUGGAUUGGUGUUUAUUGUGUAAGAAAAAUAGGGAAUCUGUGGAUCAUCUAUUGUUACUUGUGAUGUGGCUUGGUUCUUGUGGAAUGAGAUUACUAACAGAAAUGGUGUGGUAUGGGUUAUGCCUGGCAGAGUUGUGGAAAUUUUGAAGUGCUGGACAGGUAUGAAGGGAAAUAUUCACAUCGCUGCCGUGUGGAAGAUGAUUAUUCCCCUGUAUUAUGUGGUGUUUGUGGAUGGGGAGAAAUAAGAGAUGCUUUGAAGAGCAAGAGCCAUUCCUUGGAUGAGCUGAAUAGAUUUUUUUAUUUUAUUACAUUAUUCUCUUGGGCGUCGGUAUUUAGUUGUAAUGAGGGCAGUUUUCAUGAUUUGCUUGUAUCUCUCAUUGUUGUUUUUGGGUACUUAGUGUCCAUGACCUUCUACUUUUUAUUGUAACCUCUAGUCAGGUGUUCCUCAUGUAUACUACCUGUGUACCUGGGUUUUGCCCAUUUCUAUGAAUAUAAUUUCUUGAUUACCUAUCAAAAAAAAAAAAAAAAAAAGGUACUUAGGCUUAUUUUGUGUAUACUUCCUGUGUACUUGAGCUAAGCCUUUUCCUAUCAAUAAAAGUUUUACUUAUAAAGA